UUAAGCGACUAAGCGUACACGGUGGAUGCCCUGGCAGUCAGAGGCGAUGAAGGACGUGCUAAUCUGCGAAAAGCGUCGGUAAGGUGAUAUGAACCGUUAUAACCGGCGAUGUCCGAAUGGGGAAACCCAGUGCAAUUCGUUGCACUAUCGUUAACUGAAUACAUAGGUUAACGAGGCGAACCGGGGGAACUGAAACAUCUAAGUACCCCGAGGAAAAGAAAUCAACCGAGAUUCCCCCAGUAGCGGCGAGCGAACGGGGAGCAGCCCAGAGUCUGAAUCAGCUUGUGUGUUAGUGGAACGGUCUGGAAAGUCCGACGGUACAGGGUGAUAGUCCCGUACACCAAAAUGCACAGGUUGUGAACUCGAAGAGUAGGGCGGGACACGUGGUAUCCUGUCUGAAUAUGGGGGGACCAUCCUCCAAGGCUAAAUACUCCUGACUGACCGAUAGUGAACCAGUACCGUGAGGGAAAGGCGAAAAGAACCCCGGCGAGGGGAGUGAAAAAGAACCUGAAACCGUGUACGUACAAGCAGUGGGAGCACCUUCGGGUGUGACUGCGUACCUUUUGUAUAAUGGGUCAGCGACUUAUAUUCUGUAGCAAGGUUAACCGUAUAGGGGAGCCGCAGGGAAACCGAGUCUUAACUGGGCGUUAAGUUGCAGGGUAUAGACCCGAAACCCGGUGAUCUAGCCAUGGGCAGGUUGAAGGUUGGGUAACACUAACUGGAGGACCGAACCGACUAAUGUUGAAAAAUUAGCGGAUGACUUGUGGCUGGGGGUGAAAGGCCAAUCAAACCGGGAGAUAGCUGGUUCUCCCCGAAAGCUAUUUAGGUAGCGCCUCGUGAACUCAUCUUCGGGGGUAGAGCACUGUUUCGGCUAGGGGGUCAUCCCGACUUACCAACCCGAUGCAAACUACGAAUACCGAAGAAUGUUAUCACGGGAGACACACGGCGGGUGCUAACGUCCGUCGUGAAGAGGGAAACAACCCAGACCGCCAGCUAAGGUCCCAAAGUCAUGGUUAAGUGGGAAACGAUGUGGGAAGGCACAGACAGCCAGGAUGUUGGCUUAGAAGCAGCCAUCAUUUAAAGAAAGCGUAAUAGCUCACUGGUCGAGUCGGCCUGCGCGGAAGAUGUAACGGGGCUAAACCAUGCACCGAAGCUGCGGCAGCGACACUAUGUGUUGUUGGGUAGGGGAGCGUUCUGUAAGCCUGCGAAGGUGUGCUGUGAGGCAUGCUGGAGGUAUCAGAAGUGCGAAUGCUGACAUAAGUAACGAUAAAGCGGGUGAAAAGCCCGCUCGCCGGAAGACCAAGGGUUCCUGUCCAACGUUAAUCGGGGCAGGGUGAGUCGACCCCUAAGGCGAGGCCGAAAGGCGUAGUCGAUGGGAAACAGGUUAAUAUUCCUGUACUUGGUGUUACUGCGAAGGGGGGACGGAGAAGGCUAUGUUAGCCGGGCGACGGUUGUCCCGGUUUAAGCAUGUAGGCUGGUUAUCCAGGCAAAUCCGGAUAAUCAAGGCUGAGGUGUGAUGACGAGGCACUACGGUGCUGAAGUAACAAAUGCCCUGCUUCCAGGAAAAGCCUCUAAGCAUCAGGUAACAUCAAAUCGUACCCCAAACCGACACAGGUGGUCAGGUAGAGAAUACCAAGGCGCUUGAGAGAACUCGGGUGAAGGAACUAGGCAAAAUGGUGCCGUAACUUCGGGAGAAGGCACGCUGGUGUGUAGGUGAAGUCCCUGCGGAUGGAGCUGAGACCAGUCGAAGAUACCAGCUGGCUGCAACUGUUUAUUAAAAACACAGCACUGUGCAAACACGAAAGUGGACGUAUACGGUGUGACGCCUGCCCGGUGCCGGAAGGUUAAUUGAUGGGGUUAUCCGUAAGGAGAAGCUCUUGAUCGAAGCCCCGGUAAACGGCGGCCGUAACUAUAACGGUCCUAAGGUAGCGAAAUUCCUUGUCGGGUAAGUUCCGACCUGCACGAAUGGCGUAAUGAUGGCCAGGCUGUCUCCACCCGAGACUCAGUGAAAUUGAACUCGCUGUGAAGAUGCAGUGUACCCGCGGCAAGACGGAAAGACCCCGUGAACCUUUACUAUAGCUUGACACUGAACAUUGAGCCUUGAUGUGUAGGAUAGGUGGGAGGCUUUGAAGCGUGGACGCCAGUCUGCGUGGAGCCAACCUUGAAAUACCACCCUUUAAUGUUUGAUGUUCUAACGUUGGCCCCUGACCGGGGUUGCGGACAGUGUCUGGUGGGUAGUUUGACUGGGGCGGUCUCCUCCCAAAGCGUAACGGAGGAGCACGAAGGUUAGCUAAUCCUGGUCGGACAUCAGGAGGUUAGUGCAAUGGCAUAAGCUAGCUUGACUGCGAGCGUGACGGCGCGAGCAGGUGCGAAAGCAGGUCAUAGUGAUCCGGUGGUUCUGAAUGGAAGGGCCAUCGCUCAACGGAUAAAAGGUACUCCGGGGAUAACAGGCUGAUACCGCCCAAGAGUUCAUAUCGACGGCGGUGUUUGGCACCUCGAUGUCGGCUCAUCACAUCCUGGGGCUGAAGUAGGUCCCAAGGGUAUGGCUGUUCGCCAUUUAAAGUGGUACGCGAGCUGGGUUUAGAACGUCGUGAGACAGUUCGGUCCCUAUCUGCCGUGGGCGCUGGAGAAUUGAGGGGGGCUGCUCCUAGUACGAGAGGACCGGAGUGGACGCAUCACUGGUGUUCGGGUUGUCAUGCCAAUGGCACUGCCCGGUAGCUAAAUGCGGAAGAGAUAAGUGCUGAAAGCAUCUAAGCACGAAACUUGCCCCGAGAUGAGUUCUCCCUGAGACUAUAAGUCUCCUGAAGGAACGUUAAAGACGAUGACGUUGAUAGGCCGGGUGUGUAAGCGCAGCGAUGCGUUGAGCUAACCGGUACUAAUGAACCGUGAGGCUUAACCU
rnacentral:rRNA from 1 species